UACAGAGGUCCCAAGCGUUGUUCGGAUUCAUUGGGCGUAAAGGGUGCGUAGGCGGCGCGGUAAGUCGGGUGUGAAAUCUCGGAGCUUAACUCCGAAACUGCAUUCGAUACUGCCGUGCUUGAGGACUGGAGAGGAGACUGGAAUUUACGGUGUAGCGGUGAAAUGCGCAGAUAUCAGGAGGAACACCGGUGGCGAAGGCGGUUCUCUGGGCAUGAUCUGACGCUGAUGAGCGAAAGUGUGGGGAGCGAACAGG
rnacentral:rRNA from 1 species